AGAGCUGCGUCCGAAAUCGCAUACUUCCAUACUAUAUAGUAGGCGAAAAACAGUAUGCGAAGCAAGUAGUAUGUCCGAAUUCUUAGAAUUCGAAAAACAGUAGGCGAGAUGUACCCGGAUGGCCUACUACUUCCGGCCGAAUUCCGUAGUAUGCAUAGGAUGGACACUUCUCUAUCCCAUGAGGCCACGGGAGAGGACUCGUCAUACUCAUAUUCGAAAAUAACGGCAAAUCGUGACGCCGCUGUUUUGAAGUAGACUGAUGAAUACAAUCUUGUUCUCAUCCACUGAUGAAACCCUACUCACUGGAAAGCAUAAUUCAGUAAUCUGCUCUUGAAGAGGUGCACACGGUCGUCUGCUGUGACACAGCUGUGGACAGCUUGUCCCAC